UGUGGGGGAGCCUCUGUUUUCUUUCCCUUCCCUCCCGUCUCCUCCAUUUUACCUCCCUCGGGCUUCUCAGUCCGCAGCCGCAGCAGACCCCAGAGUGAGAAGGGGGAGGCGGAGCCUGAGGACAGGGCCCUCCAGGAGCGCUGGCCGCCGGGAGAGGCCUGAGGCAGCCCUGUCCUUGCCCAGCCACCCUCGGUUCCCUGGGAAACUUCCCACAGGUCCCCCACCAACUCCAGGGAGAAGGCAAGGGUCACCGGCGCCUCCGAGCUCUUCUUCAUAGGCCCAGGUUGGGGCCUCCCACCUCUGACUCCGCUUCCAGCUCCCCAUGGGGCUCUCCUCUUGGUCCAGUCACCCCCCACCCCGGCCAGGAGCCACGGAGAUGGAGGAGAGGACAGGACAGACCCCAGCUUCUCGCCCACUGUGGCCCAGCAAAAGACUCCAGCCCUUACUGGGCUCUCAGGACCUGUGAAGCCUGGCUCCACCCUUUCAACCACGCUGCCCUCCACCCGCUCCUGCACCCUCCAGUUCCUGUCUACACCGCAGUUUCUCCUGCAAGAACCUGUGGAGCGGCUGGACCACAGCCCGCAAGCCUCCUGGCUCUGCGCCUCUCCUAACUCCGCUCCAGGCCUUGCUGCAUCCUCGGGGAAGCUCCCCGCCCUUCCUUCCGGGCUCAGAGCUCUCGCACCGGGAAGCGGGAAGCGCUUUCCCGGGAGACAGGGGCACUGGGCAGUCGCGGAUUUCUAGGAGACCGAGGUCUGCUUCCCACAGCAUGAGCUCCCUGGGGCGGGGACUGCGACCCAGAUGGGCCGUCUCCGUCCCGGGACCCAGCCCUGGGCCAGCAGACACAGGCAGAACCGACGCCCGCGCGCCGGGCUCAGGGGCCGGGGCUUCGUCCUGCAGGACUUCAGAACGGGUGGGUGGAGCCACCAUUCUCCUGGGGAGCUGCUGCUCAGGGCGCCCAGGACACCCUUACUCCUUCCGACUUCCCAGCAUCAUCCGGGCCUUCUCCAUCCCACCUGUGAAACCCUCACCUCCUGCCACAUCUCGGUGCACCUUUCUGGUUCUGCUUCACUGGCCUCAAAAAGCAGCAUGGAAUAAAAGACCUGAGCACCGGAUUCAGAAUCAGAAAUUUUGGAUUCAAUAACUAAAUUAAGCCAGGUGUGGUGGCGCACGGCUGUAAUCCCAGCACUUGGGAGGCUGAGGCAGGAGGAUCACCUCUAGUUCCAGGCCAGUCUGGGCCACAUAGUGAGUUCAAAACCAGCCUGAACUACAAUAGCAAGACCCUAUCUCAAAAACAAACAAACAAAAAUAGCCCAAUAACUGAAUUAAAUGUAGUAGUGCUGGGACCCCUGGCAGAGUGUUAAACCACUCUGAAGUUCAGCUAUUUUGUCUGUAGAUUGGGGAAAAACUUCAGAAUCAAGUAGAACAGAAGAAUGUUUAAAUCUAGCCAGAUGUGGUAGUAAUCUCAGCUAUUCAAGAGGCAGGAGGGUUUCAAGUUUGAGGCCAGACCUGGGCAACUUAGUCAGACUUUGUCUGAAAGCAAACAAAAAAAAUUUUUUUUUAAACUGGAAAUGUAGCUCAGUGAUAAAAUGCUUGCCUGGCACACCCGAGGCCCUGGAUUCAGAUCACCAGUAACAAACAAAAAUGCUAAAGCUCUCUUCCCCCUAUCAGCUGAGAAUACUGGAUAAAAUAAAAAAUUAAAUGCAUGCUUGCAACUCAAAAGAAAAGUAAAACCCCAGGUGCUAGAAAAAGAGAAAACUGAAAACCAAGGAUGAGCUGGCUGUGAAGGGAUCUCUGCUAAUUAGUAACUAAUGGCUGGGGGUUAUCAGCCAUCCAAGGACAAAGAAUGAGGCCUUGGUCCUGAAAAGGUGAGGAAAUUAGAUGACAGACAACGAAUGCCGAUUCAGAAAGAAAUAGAAAAACAAGCCAGGCGCGGUGAGCACAGCUUCAUGCCAGCAUCCAGGGACAGGGGAAUCAUGGGAGUUUGGGGCCAGACUGGGUACAUGGUGAGACCCUGUCUGGAGAAAGAAAUGAAGAAAGGAGGGUAGGAAAG
ensembl:lncRNA